rnacentral:rRNA from 1 species
ACGUAGGGUGCGAGCGUUAAUCGGAAUUACUGGGCGUAAAGCGUGCGCAGGCGGUUUGUUAAGUCUGAUGUGAAAGCCCCGGGCUCAACCUGGGAAUGGCAUUGGAAACUGGCAAGCUAGAGUGUGGCAGAGGGGGGUGGAAUUCCGCGUGUAGCAGUGAAAUGCGUAGAGAUGCGGAGGAACACCGAUGGCGAAGGCAGCCCCCUGGGCCAACACUGACGCUCAGGCACGAAAGCGUGGGGAGCAAACAGGAUUAGAUACCCUGGUAGUCCACGCCCUAAACGAUGUCAACUGGGUGUUGGGGAAGCGAUUCCUUGGUACCGUAGCUAACGCGUGAAGUUGACCGCCUGGGGAGUACGGCCGCAAGGUUA